CUCUAUGGUCAGUAAGGUGAGGGAAUGGAGUAAACCUACUCGCUCUCCCAAUUACUAUGGGAAGAACAUCACCCAUAAGAGAUGAGACUUUGACCAGAAGCCCGGCUAAGAAACUUGGAACAGAGGCGGCAGCAGCUAGAGAAGCAGCAGUGGGCUUUUGCUGGCAGCAUCUGUAGUCAUGAACCACUUCAUGGUACUCCAGCCAUCUUCAAUACUGAUCCAGUCCUGUAACCCGGAGCUCUCUGGAUUUUCAGGCAAGAGCAUUUCCUGUCUUGGAAAGGAAAAGAUAUGGUUGAAAUUUUCACAGAAGACAUUUCCAAGUCAAUGGAGAACUUAAAGGUCACAAACAACGAGAAGAAUUGACGGCUGAGGCCAUUCCAUGAACACAGCAAUGGUAUCCCACCACAUUGCUACCGGGGAGAAGUUGUCCAUCACCGACAUGGGUUGUCCUCAGGUCCUCCACUGUAAGAAUGCUC